CCUACGGGGGGCUGCAGUGGGGAAUAUUGCACAACGGGCGCAAGCCUGAUGCAGCCAUGCCGCGUGUGUGAAGAGGGCCUUCGGGUUGUAAAGCACUUUCAGCGGGGAGGAAGGCGUUAAGGUUAAUAACCUUGGCGAUUGACGUUACCCGCAGAAGAAGCACCGGCUAACUCCGUGCCAGCAGCCGCGGUAAUACGGAGGGUGCAAGCGUUAAUCGGAAUUACUGGGCGUAAAGCGCACGCAGGCGGUCUGUCAAGUCGGAUGUGAAAUCCCCGGGCUCAACCUGGGAACUGCAUUCGAAACUGGCAGGCUAGAGUCUUGUAGAGGGGGGUAGAAUUCCAGGUGUAGCGGUGAAAUGCGUAGAGAUCUGGAGGAAUACCGGUGGCGAAGGCGGCCCCCUGGACAAAGACUGACGCUCAGGUGCGAAAGCGUGGGGAGCAAACAGGAUUAGAUACCCGGGUAGUC
rnacentral:rRNA from 1 species